rnacentral:lncRNA from 1 species
AGACAUUGCGGGAUCUUCAACGGUCGAGAUUCGGGAGCGGCAAGAGGAGCGAUUCACAGCUGUGGUAAGUGACUUAUUACAGCAUUUUUAUUGUUCAUGUUUGUAGUAUAUGAAGGUAUCUAUGUUCGCGGUUCAUAUUGGUAACCCCGGAUUCACGCAUCCUCCGUCCGCGGGGCGCGGGGUUUCAGCAGCGCGGUCGCGGUAGGAUUUCACACAUUCCCCGGUGUUAUAGCAGCUAUGGGCAGAAAAUCUCUGGGUUCCUAUGUUAAGAAUUACAUGCUUCGAUGACAACAGUUGUGAUUCACAGGAACUUCGUGUUGAUCAGCACACUUUGUCGUGAUUAUUUUACGGUGUAAAUCAGAUUAGCACAGGCAGUCGUUUGUUAACACGGGCACUGAAAUGAAAACGUGCGCUAAAGCCUUGCGCUCAGCCCGCUCACGGAGGAUGUGUGUGUGGUGUAAAUUCUGAACGGUGCUGUUAAAGCGGUUAACGUUACCAGCGAAAGGUGUAUUUGAGGACCUUUGCUAACUUGCUAAUUUGCUUAUUAUUUGUUUGUAAUGCCUCUUGUUGUCUUUGGUUUAAAAGAAUGAGUUAAUCCAGCCCAGCUUCUUGUCUGGCCUUGCCUCUCUGUUCACAGCAUAUUACACCAGGAGGACACCACCAGAACUCUGGACUUCAUUCAAAGGCACUCUGUAGGUAUUAAUCCGGAGAGAGGAACAAUGAAGUUGAAAGGAAAAGUGGCAUCUAAAACAACAGGACAAAUGGUACAGAAGAAGCAGCUUGAAGUGAACCCACAUGUUGUCACUCUUCUUUGCAAAGUGAAGGAUUUUCAGUGGAAUUUCUGAAAUGUAAGUGCACACAC